CACGUAGGGUGCGAGCGUUGUCCGGAAUUAUUGGGCGUAAAGAGCUCGUAGGCGGUGUGUCGCGUCGGCCGUGAAAACCUGCAGCUUAACUGUGGGCUUGCGGUCGAUACGGGCAUCACUGGAGUUCGGCAGGGGAGACUGGAAUUCCUGGUGUAGCGGUGAAAUGCGCAGAUAUCAGGAGGAACACCGGUGGCGAAGGCGGGUCUCUGGGCCGUAACUGACGCUGAGGCGCGAAAGCUAGGGGAGCGAACGGG
rnacentral:rRNA from 1 species